rnacentral:rRNA from 1 species
UCGGUUUGGAACAACGUUUGGAAACGAACGCUAAUACCGGAUACGGCUUGAGGGCGAAAGAUUCAUCGCCGAAGGAUUGGCCCGCGUUCGAUUAGCUAGAUGGCGGGGUAACGGCCCACCAUGGCGACGAUCGAUAGCUGGUCUGAGAGGAUGGCCAGCCACAUUGGGACUGAGACACGGCCCAAACUCCUACGGGAGGCAGCAGUGGGGAAUAUUGGAAAUGGGCGCAGCCUGAUCCACCAUGCCGCGUGAGUGAUGA